AUUGAACGCUGGCGGCAGGCCUAACACAUGCAAGUCGAACGAGUGGCGGACGGGUGAGUAAUGUCUGGGAAACUGCCUGAUUGAUUGGGAUUACUACUGGAAACGGUAGCUAAUACCGCAUACCAUCAGAUGUGCCACGCUGGGUUUAGCUUGUUGGUGGGGUAACGGAUCACCAAGGCGACGAUCCCUCGCUGGUCUGACAGGAGGACCAGCCACACUGGAACUGUGACACGUUCCAGACUCCUACGGGAGGCAGCAGUGGGGAAUAUUGCACAAUGGGCGCAAGCCUGAUGCAGCCAUGCCGGGUGUAUGAAGAAGGCCUUCGGGUUGUAAAGUACUUUCAGCGGGGAGGCGUUACCCGCAGAAGAAGCACCGGCUAACGCCGUGCCAGCAGCCGCGGUAAAC
rnacentral:rRNA from 1 species